UACGUAGGGGGGCAAGCGUUGUCCGGAUUCAUUGGGCGUAAAGAGCGUGUAGGCGGCCAGGUAGGUCGGUUGUGAAAACUGGAGGCUCAACCUUCAGACGUCGACCGAAACCAUCUGGCUAGAGUCCGGGAGAGGAGAGUGGAAUUCCUGGUGUAGCGGUGAAAUGCGCAGAUAUCAGGAAGAACACCCGUGGCGAAAGCGGCUCUCUGGAACGGUACUGACGCUGAGACGCGAAAAGCGUGGGGAGCGAACAGG
rnacentral:rRNA from 1 species